UCAGCGCAAUCCGGAACCUCCUGAGAAAGUGUGAUUGAGGGACGCUGAUGUCGGGGAAACCCUCCUUGCGAAAAGCGGGAUAGAGCGAAAGACAAAGACCGGGAAAAAACUAAAGCGCCGAAGUCGGGCGCUUUAGUUUU
rnacentral:sRNA from 1 species